rnacentral:rRNA from 1 species
UACAGAGGGUGCAAACGUUGCUCGGAAUUAUUGGGCGUAAAGCGCGUGUAGGCGGCUCGUUAAGUAGACUGUGAAAGCCCUUGGCUCAACCAAGGAAGUGCAGUCUAAACUGGCAAGCUUGAGUCCCGAAGAGGAUGGCGGAAUGCCCAGUGUAGCAGGUGAAAUUCGUAGAUAUUGGGUAGAACACCAGUGGCGAAGGCGGCCAUCUGGGAGGCGACUGACGCUGAGACGCGAAAGCGUGGGGAGCAAACAGG